AGGGGUGUAGCUCCAACGGUAGAGCAGCGGAUUCCAAAUCCGCGUGUUGGGAGUUCGAAUCUCUCCACCCCUGCCA
rnacentral:tRNA from 1 species